rnacentral:rRNA from 1 species
AUACGUAGGGGGCUAGCGUUAUCCGGAUUUACUGGGCGUAAAGGGAGCGUAGGUGGAUAUUUAAGUGGGAUGUGAAAUACUCGGGCUUAACCUGAGUGCUGCAUUCCAAACUGGAUAUCUAGAGUGCAGGAGAGGAAAGUAGAAUUCCUAGUGUAGCGGUGAAAUGCGUAGAGAUUAGGAAGAAUACCAGUGGCGAAGGCGACUUUCUGGACUGUAACUGACGCUGAGGCUCGAAAGCGUGGGGAGC